GUAACGGCGAGUGAAGCGGCAACAGCUCAAAUUUGAAAUCUGGCUCCUUCGGGGUCCGAGUUGUAAUUUGCAGAGGAUGCGUCGGGUACGGGUCCCUACCGAGUUCCCUGGAACGGGACGCCAUAGAGGGUGAGAGCCCCGUCUGGUAGGAUACCCAGCCCAUGUGACGCUCCCUCGACGAGUCGAGUAGUUUGGGAAUGCUGCUCUAACGGGAGGUAUACUCCUUCCAAAGCUAAAUACCGGCUGGAGACCGAUAGCGCACAAGUAGAGUGAUCGAAAGAUGAAAAGCACUUUGAAAAGAGAGUCAAACAGCACGUGAAAUUGUUAAAAGGGAAGCACUCGCUACCAGACUUGGGUUUGGCGGUUCAACCGGGGCCACGCCCCGGGGCAUUCCGCCAGCUCAGGCCAGCAUCAGCUUUCCGUCGGGGGCAAAGACGUCGGGAAUGUGGCUCCCCCUCGGGGGAGUGUUAUAGCCCGGCGUGUCAUACCCUUCGGGGGGCUGAGGUACGCGCUUCUGCAAGGAUGCUGGCGUAAUGGUAGCUAGUGACCCGUCUUGAAACACGGACCAAGGAGUCAACCUUAUGUGCGAGUGCCCGGGCGUAAAACCCCAGCGCGGAAUGAAAGUGAACGUAGGUGAGAGCUUCGGCGCAUCACCGACCGAUCCUGAUGUCCUCGGACGGAUUUGAGUGAGAGCAUAUAGGGUUGGACCCGAAAGAAGAUGAACUAUGCGUGUGUAGGGUGAAGCCAGAGGAAACUCUGGUGGAGGCUCGCAGCGGUUCUGACGUGCAAAUCG
rnacentral:misc_RNA from 2 species